AUUAAAAAAAAAAAAAAGAAAUAUGUAUUCCAUACAAAAAUUUUGAUGAAGUGAAGCAUAAACUCAUUAAUUUAGGCUAUAAAAGAUGUAAUUUAAUGCCCUAGAAUACUUUUUGCACAUAUCUUAUGUGAUGUGUCAGCCACUUCUUUAGAUGUGAUUGGUCUGCCAGACAACCAAAGGCAACCUACUGUUACACCUAAUUGAAUAUUUAAAGAAGUGGCCAAGCUCGCAUUUUUAAAAACUGAUUGGAGCAAUUUGGAAGCCAUAUGCAUCAAAGCAUCGCAAAAUAUCAGCUUUGUUGAAAAUCCUCAUUUGUGACAUACAAGUAAAACACUAGAGUGGUCUACCAUGGUAGGAUACACAAAACUCAUAUUGGAAAAUUAAAAUGGCAAACCUUAAUCAAAUUAAGUAUAUAUAUUCAUUUGUUAUUUUCUUUAGUAAUUGCUAGGGCAUGAAACUAAGAAGUGGAUAACAGAAAGAGAAUAGAUAAUGGAUUCAGCAAAGUUGUAAGGCAGAAGAGAAGUAUUUGCUCAUGCACAAGCAUUUGUACAUGUAAUUGGUGACAUCUUUCUCAGCAAAAUCAUGAUGAUGAUGAUGAAUCAUAACAUCAUGUGUAAGAGGCUAGAUGCAUGUGUGGUUGGUUCAUACAGCGUUCACCAUAAAACUAGUUCCAUUUUCAUGAUGACAUAGAUUCUAACUACAGAAGUUUCCACAAAGCCAAUUCCUUUAGCUUGGGAAUGACUUUUGAGCUGAGGUGAGUAGAUGAUAGAGUUAGCAGAUCAUUAAGAUGGUAUGCUACAAGAGCAAGAUGUCAUCAGUCAACCAUAAGUGGUGUGGCUGUGAAUUAUUUAUUAAAAAAUCUAAGAUUUUCUAUCUUUUCCUUCAAUUUUUUCUGUACCCCAGACAUGAGCUCCUAAAGUGGCUAGAAUUACAAAUUUAUAGAAGAGUACUCAAAGUCAAGAUUUUGAAAUAUUUUACUCUGGAAUAGCCUCAACAAGAAUAAUGAUCUUAGACAUGAUUUUUUACCCCUGCAACCCCAGUCCCCAAUCG
rnacentral:misc_RNA from 1 species